AUUGAACGCUGGCGGCAGGCCUAACACAUGCAAGUCGAACGGUAACAGGAAGAAGCUUGCUUCUUUGCUGACGAGUGGCGGCCGGGUGAGUAAUGUCUGGGAAACUGCCUGAUGGAGGGGGAUAACUACUGGAAACGGUAGCUAAUACCGCAUAACGUCGCAAGACCAAAGAGGGGGACCUUCGGGCCUCUUGCCAUCGGAUGUGCCCAGAUGGGAUUAGCUAGUAGGUGGGGUAACGGCUCACCUAGGCGACGAUCCCUAGCUGGUCUGAGAGGAUGACCAGCCACACUGGAACUGAGACACGGUCCAGACUCCUACGGGAGGCAGCAGUGGGGAAUAUUGCACAAUGGGCGCAAGCCUGAUGCAGCCAUGCCGCGUGUAUGAAGAAGGCCUUCGGGUUGUAAAGCACUUUCAGCGGGGAGGAAGGGAGUAAAGUUAAUACCUUUGCUCAUUGACGUUACCCGCAGAAGAAGCACCGGCUAACUCCGUG
rnacentral:rRNA from 1 species